rnacentral:miRNA from 1 species
GGCCGAGGUGGGAUCCCGAGGCCUCUCCAGUCUGCCGAGGGCGUACCACUGGCCCAUCUCUCCCGCUGUGCCAGG